GGUGUGUAUGAGGGCUAUGACUGAACAAUUCAACCCUUAAUUGUUUGCAGAAUCUCUCACCUUUGCUAUUUGCAUAAAAUGCACAAAUUGGGUGGCUAUACACCUGAUAUGAUUCGUAUUGUUUAGUUUGCAAUUCUAGGUGACUUCAGAGCUGGCUUUGAGGAGCUGCUUGAAGAGAUAGUCACCAUUUAACUGAGAUCUCCAUUUAAAUAUCGUUGGGUUCAGGGAGGUCCUCUUUGACAGAAAGGUUUAUUUGGUGAGAGGAAGGCAGGUGCAAUCUGCUCUUUGACAAACAACAGAGCGACGAAGACAACAUUCAAAGGUAUGCCAAAUGAGGUGGCCCCGUGACAACUUCUUGAAGGGUGAGCUCUGAUGAAGUGUGAAGGAAUGGAAAACCCCAGGACUCCAUGGCCUUGAUCUAAGCAGAUGCCAAGGCUAUUUCUCAUGUUGCUUUCAGGCUAGAGUGCUUCACAUAGUAUCCUGCUUCAACAUUCCUUUCCUACUGAGACACACACACACACACAGAGAAAUGUCCUGAGCCGCGUGCCAAGAGAAACAACUCUGUGUUAGCAACUGCAGCUGAGGGAGUGGCAGACGAGGUGGCUGGGAUGCGGCCCUUGCUAUGAGGCUAAGCUGGAUUGAUGAUGUUCAUAACGCUCCUGAGGUCAGGCUGAUCCUGCAUCUGGAGAAAGAGUGGUCGGAGUGCUGUCUCGAGAUUGGGACGGAUGGUGAUUGGAACAUGUGAUCGACUGAAGAGUGAGGGGAUGGUCUGGGGAUUUUUGUUUUACUGAGGGAAAACCCAGACCUCUCAGAAUCAGGUUUUCCCAGAUGUGCCAGUUUACCUAUGCUAGUAAACAGAACUUUGAAAAAUGCUUGCUUCAGAGUUUUUACUUGGAGUUGGGGGUUUUACUGGAAUGCUGACAGUUUCAUCUUCUACUAAACCAUGGUUUC